GGGAGUGGCAGACGGGUGAGUAACACGUGGGAACGUACCCUUUGGUUCGGAAUAACGCAGGGAAACUUGCGCUAAUACCGGAUACGCCCUUUUGGGGAAAGGUUUACUGCCGAAGGAUCGGCCCGCGUCUGAUUAGCUAGUUGGUGGGGUAACGGCCUACCAAGGCGACGAUCAGUAGCUGGUCUGAGAGGAUGAUCAGCCACACUGGGACUGAGACACGGCCCAGACUCCUACGGGAGGCAGCAGUGGGGAAUAUUGGACAAUGGGCGCAAGCCUGAUCCAGCCAUGCCGCGUGAGUGAUGAAGGCCUUAGGGUUGUAAAGCUCUUUUGUCCGGGACGAUAAUGACGGUACCGGAAGAAUAAGCCCCGGCUAACUUCGUGCCAGCAGCCGCGGUAAUU
rnacentral:rRNA from 1 species